GACGAACGCUGGCGGCGUGCUUAACACAUGCAAGUCGAACGGAAAGGCCCUGCUUUUGUGGGGUGCUCGAGUGGCGAACGGGUGAGUAACACGUGAGUAACCUGCCCUUGACUUUGGGAUAACUUCAGGAAACUGGGGCUAAUACCGGAUAGGAGCUCCUGCUGCAUGGUGGGGGUUGGAAAGUUUCGGCGGUUGGGGAUGGACUCGCGGCUUAUCAGCUUGUUGGUUGGGUAGUGGCAUACCAAGGCUUUGACGGGUAGCCGGCCUGAGAGGGUGACCGGCCACAUUAGGACUGAGAUACGGCCCAGACUCCUACGGGAGGCAGCAGUGGGGAAUAUUGCACAAUGGGCGGAAGCCUGAUGCAGCAACGCCGCGUGCGGGAUGACGGCCUUCGGGUUGUAAACCGCUUUCGCCUGUGACGAAGCGUGAGUGACGGUAAUGGGUAAAGAAGCACCGGCUAACUACGUG
rnacentral:rRNA from 1 species